UAGGGCUCCCGCCAGCAAAGUUUUCUAGUGUUUUAUUGGAACAUCUGGGAAACCCAGGCCUUGGAAGACCCACCUGAAUAAUUGAGGCGUGGCUAUAUUUACGGACCUAUUCAAACCGACAGAUAUCAUUGUACGGAAAAGUCAACUAGAUCAAAAAG